ensembl:snoRNA
UCCCUCUCUGUAUGGUUGGUUACACAAGGUUUCCCAUGUGUGACUUUCAUACACAGAUAGAGAAAAGAGCUCCUUGGGAGUUGAUUGGCCUCUCUUGCCUAGAGAAGCACAACAGGG